ACCGCCGCUCCUCUUCCCUUUUCCCCACACACGCUCCCCUCCACUCACCGCCUACGCUCCCCCCCCCCCCCCCCCCCCCCCGCUCCUCUCUUUCCCUUUUUCAUCAUCACCGCCGCACCCCGCUCCUCCACUCACCUCAAAUUUCCCUAUAAAAAGGGGGGCGGGAACGAAAAAAAAAAGGGGGAGAGAAGAAAACGAAUGAACUUAGACAGGAAGAUCUGGAAACAAAAAUCUCCCCACAAAACACAAGUUUUAAUCAACAAAAAUAGCCAACAAUUACUCUAUUUUCCUUUCUUUUUUCGUUUAAAACUUUAGUUACUUUAAUCGGGUUCAGGUUUGGAUUCUUCGAGUUCGAGUAUAGAUUCGAGACCCCGACGAUCUCAGUUCACUGCACCUGAAAAAGGUAAUGUUUCGAAAGAGACUUGAGGAUGGCCAUUUGAAGUAGACUCUUUGGAUGCUUAGAUGAAGAUCACAUUUGCAUGAGCACGUUCAUUUUGUAUACUUUUGGGGACUUGUACGUGAUCCAUGUGAUACACUUAGAUGUGCACUUUUGAAUGAAAUUUGGGUCAUUAUGCUAAUAUUUUGUAACUUGGUUUUGAUGAAUGACUUGACUAUUUUGGGAGUAUCCAUGCCCAAGUCUUGUAAUAUAUUAAAUUCAGUACUUGUGUUGAACUUGGGAACUUAACUAGUUUGUAUUUGAGAUUGAGAGUUGAAUUUC